AGAGUUUGAUCCUGGCUCAGAACGAACGCUGGCGGCAGGCCUAACACAUGCAAGUCGAACGAGGUAGCAAUACCUAGUGGCGGACGGGUGAGUAACACGUGGGAACGUACCCUUUGCUACGGAAUAGCCCUGGGAAACUGGGAGUAAUACCGUAUGAGCCCGAGAGGGGAAAGAUUUAUCGGCAAAGGAUCGGCCCGCGUUGGAUUAGGUAGUUGGUGGGGUAAUGGCUUACCAAGCCGACGAUCCAUAGCUGGUUUGAGAGGAUGAUCAGCCACACUGGGACUGAGACACGGCCCAGACUCCUACGGGAGGCAGCAGUGGGGAAUCUUAGACAAUGGGGGAAACCCUGAUCUAGCCAUGCCGCGUGAUCGAUGAAGGCCUUAGGGUUGUAAAGACCUUUCAGGUGGGAAGAUAAUGACUGUACCACCAGAAGAAGCCCCGGCUAACUCCGUG
rnacentral:rRNA from 1 species